CCCGAGUGUGCUCCUGCUGAAGCUUCAGCACAGGUGACAGGCUGACUGGCAAGCACUGAGAUUAAAAUUCAUAACUUUCUAACAGGGGGGCAAAGUACAAGUAAAUAGUUUUGUUGAAUAACUGUGCUGGAAUAAUUUCAGCACCCAGCCUUCAUCUAUCAAGGUACUUGUUAGUUAAAGAUUGAAGAAGUCAUGGAGAUUUUUAUAAGUUCAUUAGAGCAUAGUUUCUGUUUUCAUUUAAUGACUGUUUAAUUUGAAUUCCUAGAGGGGCAACCAGGUCCAGAAAAUAUCAAACUUAGAGAAGCUUCAAACUUUGCAGACCUUGGACUUGUCCUCUAAUAAAAUCCAGAGUCUGCGGGCUGGAGAAUCACAAUCUGCUUGAAACCGUUGAUCUUGAGGACAAUCUCAGCUUUAAACUAAAUAGAUCCAAGAGAUAAAUGAAGUUACACACAUUCAGGAACUACCUCUGCUUCAAGUAUUAAAUCUGCUGAGGAACCCUGUUCGGGAGCAGCCUGAUUAUCGUCUCUUCUCUCCUGUUUAUUCUUCAAAGACUGACUGUUUUGGAUCUAGAGCCUGUGAAAGAUGAAGAACAGAUAUACAGUUGUGACAUAUUUUCAUCAAAAAAAUAUCUUCAAGUCAAGAUUGCGUGAAGUGUGGUUACUGGCAUACAUUCUAUAAAGUUUAGGUUUUGAUUCAUUUGUGGCAGAGAGAUAGCUAAACUCUAUAACAACUGUACAUAAUAACAAAAAUGAAGAAGACAGCUAGAGAAAUUGUUUGAAAUAGCAGAAAUAUUGCUGAGCAUUUGUGUUGUUUAUUUGUUUUCAGUACAAUACAGUGGA